CCUACGGGAGGCAGCAGUGGGGAAUAUUGGGCAAUGGGCGCAAGCCUGACCCAGCACCGCCGCGUGAAUGAAGAAGGCUUUCGGGUUGUAAACUUCUUUUCUGAGGGACGAAGAAAGUGAAGGUACCUCAGGAAUAAGCCACGGCUAACUACGUGCCAGCCGCCGCGGUAAUACGUAGGUGGCAAGCGUUAUCCGGAUUUAAUGGGUGUAAAGGGCGUGUAGGCGGGAAAGCAAGUCAGAUGUGAAAACGCAGGGCUCAACCCUGAGCCUGUAGUUGAAACUGUUUUUCGUGAGUGCUGGAGAGGCAAUCGGAAGUCCGUGUGUAGCGGUGAAAUGCGUAGAUAUACGGAGGAACACCAGUGGCGAAGGCAGCCUGCCGGGGUGCGACUGACGCUGAGGCUCGAAGGUGCGGGUAUCAAACAGGAUUAGAUACCCCAGUAGUC
rnacentral:rRNA from 1 species